rnacentral:tRNA from 1 species
GCCUGGCUGGCUCGGUCGGUAGAGCAGGUGACUCUUGAUCUCGGGGUUGUGAGUUCGAGCCCCGCGUUAGGCA